rnacentral:rRNA from 1 species
GAUGAACGCUGGCGGCGUGCCUAACACAUGCAAGUCGAACGGAGUCCAGCCUUUAAGACCUUCGGGUCAAAGAGGGGAAGACUGAGUGGCGGACGGGUGAGUAACACGUGGGCAACCUGGCUCAUAGAGGGGGAUAACAGAGAGAAAUUUCUGCUAAUACCGCAUAAGCACACACUGCCGCAUGGCAGACGGUGAAAAGAGAAUCGCUAUGAGAUGGACCCGCGUCUGAUUAGCCAGUUGGCAGGGUAAGAGCCUACCAAAGCGACGAUCAGUAGCCGAUCUGAGAGGAUGAACGGCCACAUUGGGACUGAGACACGGCCCAAACUCCUACGGGAGGCAGCAGUGGGGGAUAUUGCACAAUGGGGGGAACCCUGAUGCAGCGACGCCGCGUGAGUGAAGAAGUAUUUCGGUAUGUAAAGCUCUAUCAGCAGGGAAGAUAAUGACAGUACCUGAAUAAGAAGCCCCGGCUAACUACGUG